rnacentral:rRNA from 1 species
CUAGCUACAGGCUUAACACAUGCAAGUCGAGGGGUAUCAGGAAGAAAGCUUGCUUUCUUUGCUGGCGACCGGCGCACGGGUGAGUAACACGUAUCCAACCUGCCCUUUACUCGGGGAUAGCCUUUCGAAAGAAAGAUUAAUACCCGAUGGCAUAAUGAUUCCGCAUGGUUUCAUUAUUAAAGGAUUCCGGUAAAGGAUGGGGAUGCGUUCCAUUAGGUUGUUGGUGAGGUAACGGCUCACCAAGCCUUCGAUGGAUAGGGGUUCUGAGAGGAAGGUCCCCCACAUUGGAACUGAGACACGGUCCAAACUCCUACGGGAGGCAGCAGUGAGGAAUAUUGGUCAAUGGGCGCUAGCCUGAACCAGCCAAGUAGCGUGAAGGAUGAAGGCUCUAUGGGUCGUAAACUUCUUUUAUAUAAGAAUAAAGUGCAGUAUGUAUACUGUUUUGUAUGUAUUAUAUGAAUAAGGAUCGGCUAACUCCGUGCCAGCAGCCGCGGUAAUACGGAGGAUCCGAGCGUUAUCCGGAUUUAUUGGGUUUAAAGGGAGCGUAGGUGGACUGGUAAGUCAGUUGUGAAAGUUUGCGGCUCAACCGUAAAAUUGCAGUUGAUACUGUCAGUCUUGAGUACAGUAGAGGUGGGCGGAAUUCGUGGUGUAGCGGUGAAAUGCUUAGAUAUCACGAAGAACUCCGAUUGCGAAGGCAGCUCACUGGACUGCAACUGACACUGAUGCUCGAAAGUGUGGGUAUCAAACAGGAUUAGAUACCCUGGUAGUCCACACAGUAAACGAUGAAUACUCGCUGUUUGCGAUAUACAGUAAGCGGCCAAGCGAAAGCAUUAAGUAUUCCACCUGGGGAGUACGCCGGCAACGGUGAAACUCAAAGGAAUUGACGGGGGCCCGCACAAGCGGAGGAACAUGUGGUUUAAUUCGAUGAUACGCGAGGAACCUUACCCGGGCUUAAAUUGCAGUGGAAUGAUGUGGAAACAUGUCAGUGAGCAAUCACCGCUGUGAAGGUGCUGCAUGGUUGUCGUCAGCUCGUGCCGUGAGGUGUCGGCUUAAGUGCCAUAACGAGCGCAACCCUUAUCUUUAGUUACUAACAGGUUAUGCUGAGGACUCUAGAGAGACUGCCGUCGUAAGAUGUGAGGAAGGUGGGGAUGACGUCAAAUCAGCACGGCCCUUACGUCCGGGGCUACACACGUGUUACAAUGGGGGGUACAGAAGGCAGCUAGCGGGUGACCGUAUGCUAAUCCCAAAAUCCUCUCUCAGUUCGGAUCGAAGUCUGCAACCCGACUUCGUGAAGCUGGAUUCGCUAGUAAUCGCGCAUCAGCCACGGCGCGGUGAAUACGUUCCCGGGCCUUGUACACACCGCCCGUCAAGCCAUGGGAGCCGGGGGUACAUGAAGUACGUAACCGCAAGGAUCGUCCUAGGGUAAAACUGA